AGCUCCGCCUCCGCCCGGCUCUCUCCUCCUCCCCUCCUCCUCGCUUUCUCCUGGCCUAGCAACCGCCAGGCGUCUCUUCCAUAGCAACGCCCAGGGCACCCGGCGGCCCUGGGCUCCUUGUGAGUCCCGCCUGAAAGAGAGAAGCCUCUUCUCAGUCUGACCUAUCAACCCUUCAAAUAGCAUUUGCUGAGCCUGACAACCAGCCUUGGUUCUACCAGCAGAUGAAGAGCCUGAUGAUGGAGGUCCCCCACUGGCAGCAGAUUCCCUGAGAAGAGUUGGGUGCCACGGGCCUAUAAUCCCAUAAGUCAGAAGGCUGAAGAAGGAAGAUUGCUGUGAAUUCAUGACCAGCCUGAGCUACACAGGAAGACCGGAUCUUCAAGCAAACAAACCCAUGAAAAGAGAACUAGAGUCAUAGUUGAGGUAGUAGAGUGUUCGUGCAGCAUUUGUAAAGCCCUAGGUUCCAUCCUCAGCACUAUAUAGAACCUGGCAUGGUGUUAUAUGCCUGUGAUCUACACUUAGGAGGUGGAGAGAGGAGAGUCGGGGGUGGGGAGUUUCAAGGUCAUUCUUAGCUACAUGUCCAAUUUGAGGCCAGCCUGGUAAGACUUUGCUUAAAAAAGAGAGAGACAGAGAAAGAG